rnacentral:rRNA from 1 species
UCUCAAAGAUUAAGCCAUGCAUGUCUAAGUCCAAGCUGUGUUCACACGGCGAGACCGCGGACGGCUCAUUAAAUCAGUCGUGGUCCAAAUGGGCCAGUGCAAAUCCUACUUGGAUAACUGUGGUAAUUCCAGAGCUAAUACAUGCAACUGAUAUCCCGAAGGCGGUGUUUGGGCUUGCUUGCCUUGCGCUGCGCUGCUCUGACGGAUGCUUUUAUUAGACCAAGCCGCUGAGGACUUGAGGGUUCGCGCUCUCUUGUCUGACUCGUGUGAUGGUGACUCUGGAUAACCAAAUUCUGACAAGCGCACGUACUUCUCUUCUGAGCGAGACGGCGCUGCCACUUUCGAGUGUCUGCCUUAUCAGCUAUCAACCGUUCGUUAUGCGCGACCGAUGGCUUUGACGGGUAACGGGGAAUCAGGGUUCGAUUCCGGAGAGGCAGCCUGAGAGACGGCUACCACGUCCAAGGACGGCAGCAGGCACGCAAAUUACCCAAUCCCAGCAAAUGGGGGAGGUAGUGACGAAAUCUAACGAUGCGGGCGCCCUUUCUGGGGCCCCGCAAUCGGAAUGGGCACUUUCUAAACAACCUGUUGAGAAC